AAGAGAAGCUUGCUUCUUUUCGAAUCGAGUGGCAAACGGGUGAGUAACACGUAAACAACCUGCCUUCAGGAUGGGGACAACAGACGGAAACGACUGCUAAUACCGAAUAUGCUCAAAGGGCCGCAUGGUCUUUUGAGGAAAGGGUGGCCUCUACCUGUAAGCUAUCGCCUGAAGAGGGGUUUGCGUCUGAUUAGGCAGUUGGUGAGGUAACGGCCCACCAAACCUACGAUCAGUAGCCGGUCUGAGAGGAUGAACGGCCACACUGGAACUGAGACACGGUCCAGACUCCUACGGGAGGCAGCAGUGGGGAAUCUUCCGCAAUGGGCGAAAGCCUGACGGAGCAACGCCGCGUGAGUGAUGACGGCCUUCGGGUUGUAAAGCUCUGUGAUCGGGGACGAACGGUUGCAGGAAUAAUACUCCUGCGAAGUGACGGUACCCGAAUAGCAAGCCACGGCUAACUACGUGCCAGCAGCCGCGGUAAUACGUAGGUGGCAAGCGUUGUCCGGAAUUAUUGGGCGUAAAGCGUGCGCAGGCGGCUUCCUAAGUCCAUCUUAAAAGUACGGGGCUUAACCCCGUGAUGGGAUGGAAACUGGGAAGCUGGAGUAUCGGAGAGGAAAGUGGAAUUCCUAGUGUAGCGGUGAAAUGCGUAGAGAUUAGGAAGAACACCGGUGGCGAAGGCGACUUUCUGGACGACAACUGACGCUGAGGCGCGAAAGCGUGGGGAGCAAACAG
rnacentral:rRNA from 1 species